rnacentral:rRNA from 1 species
AGAUUGAACGCUAGCGGGAUGCUUUACACAUGCAAGUCGAACGGCAGCGCGGACUUCGGUCUGGCGGCGAGUGGCGAACGGGUGAGUAAUAUAUCGGAACGUGCCCAGUAGCGGGGGAUAACUACGCGAAAGCGUGGCUAAUACCGCAUACGCCCUACGGGGGAAAGGGGGGAUUCUUCGGAACCUCUCACUAUUGGAGCGGCCGAUAUCAGAUUAGCUAGUUGGUGAGGUAAAGGCUCACCAAGGCGACGAUCUGUAGCUGGUUUGAGAGGACGACCAGCCACACUGGGACUGAGACACGGCCCAGACUCCUACGGGAGGCAGCAGUGGGGAAUUUUGGACAAUGGGGGAAACCCUGAUCCAGCCAUCCCGCGUGUGCGAUGAAGGCCUUCGGGUG